CCUACGGGAGGCAGCAGUAGGGAAUAUUGGUCAAUGGGCGAAAGCCUGAACCAGCAACGCCGCGUGCGCGAUGAAGGCCUUCGGGUCGUAAAGCGCUUUUGGGAGGGAUGAAAAUGACAGUACCUCCCGAAUAAGGAUCGGCUAACUACGUGCCAGCAGCCGCGGUAAGACGUAGGAUCCAAGCGUUAUCCGGAAUUACUGGGCGUAAAGGGCGUGUAGGAGGUUGGGCAAGUCGGCCAUGAAAGCUCCCGGCUCAACUGGGAGAGGCUGGUCGAUACUGCCUGGCUAGAGGGCAAGAGAGGGAGGUGGAAUUCCCGGUGUAGUGGUGAAAUGCGUAGAUAUCGGGAGGAACACCAGUGGCGAAGGCGGCCUCCUGGCUUGUACCUGACUCUGAAACGCGAAAGCAUGGGUAGCAAACAGGAUUAGAAACCCUGGUAGUCCAUGCCAUAAACGAUGUCAACUGGGUGUCGGCGAAGUAAAAUUUGUCGGUGCCGAAGCUAACGCGUUAAGUUGACCGCCUGAGGACUACGAUUGNAGAUAAACUACAAGAAGUAGACGCGUGAGACGNGCGACGACGACGACGAGGAGAG
rnacentral:rRNA from 1 species